rnacentral:rRNA from 1 species
AGAGUUUGAUCAUGGCUCAGAAUCAACGCUGGCGGCGUGCCUCAGACAUGCAAGUCGAACGAUUAAGACUCUCUUCGGAGAGUGUAUAGAGUGGCGCACGGGUGAGUAACACGUAGGUAAUUUGCCUUCGGGUGGGGAAUAACUUGGGGAAACCCAAGCUAAUACCGCAUAAUGCAGCGGCACCAAAUGGUGACAGUUGUUAAAGCUUUAUGUGCCUGAAGAGAAGCCUGCGGUGGAUUAGGUAGUUGGUAAGGUAAUGGCUUACCAAGCCUGCGAUCCAUAUCCGGUCUUAGAGGACGGUCGGACACACUGACACUGAAUAACGGGUCAGACUCCUACGGGAGGCAGCAGUCGGGAAUUUUGGGCAAUGGGCGAAAGCCUGACCCAGCAACGCCGCGUGAAGGAUGAAGUCCUUCGGGAUGUAAACUUCGGAAGAAUGGGAAGAAUAAAUGACGGUACCAUUUUUAAGCCCCGGCUAACUCCGUGCCAGCAGCCGCGGUAAUACGGAGGGGGCAAGCGUUGUUCGGAUUUACUGGGCGUAAAGGGCGCGUAGGCGGCGUGACAAGUCACUUGUGAAAUCUCCGGGCUUAACUCGGAACUGCCAAGUGAUACUGUCGUGCUAGAGUGCAGAAGGGGCAAUCGGAAUUCUUGGUGUAGCGGUGAAAUGCGUAGAUAUCAAGAGGAACACCAGAGGCGAAGGCGGAUUGCUGGGCUGACACUGACGCUGAGGCGCGAAAGCUAGGGUAGCAAACGGGAUUAGAUACCCCGGUAGUCC